rnacentral:rRNA from 1 species
UACGGAGGGGGCUAGCGUUGUUCGGAAUUACUGGGCGUAAAGCGCACGUAGGCGGCUUUGCAAGUUAGAGGUGAAAGCCCAGGGCUUAACCCUGGAAUUGCCUUUAAAACUGCAUCGCUAGAAUUGUGGAGAGGUAAGUGGAAUUCCGAGUGUAGAGGUGAAAUUCGUAGAUAUUCGGAAGAACACCAGUGGCGAAGGCGACUUACUGGACACAUAUUGACGCUGAGGUGCGAAAGCGUGGGGAGCAACAGG